GACGAACGCUGGCGGCGUGCUUAACACAUGCAAGUCGAACGGAAAGGCCCCUUUGGGGGUACUCGAGUGGCGAACGGGUGAGUAACACGUGAGUAACCUGCCCUUGACUUCGGGUUAACUUCAGGAAACUGGGGCUAAUACCGGAUAGGAAUCCUUGCCGCAUGGUGGGGGUUGGAAAGCUUCGGCGGUUUUGGAUGGACUCGCGGCUUAUCAGCUUGUUGGUGGGGUAGUGGCUUACCAAGGCGUUGACGGGUAGCCGGCCUGAGAGGGCGACCGGCCACAUUGGGACUGAGAUACGGCCCAGACUCCUACGGGAGGCAGCGGUGGGGAAGAUUGCACAAAGGGCGGAAGCCUGAUGCAACAACGCCGCGUGCGGGAUGACUGCCUUCGGGUUGUAAGCCGCUUUCAGCAGGGGCGAAGCUUGUGGUGACGGUACCUGCAGAAGAAGCACCGGCUAACUACGUG
rnacentral:rRNA from 1 species